rnacentral:rRNA from 1 species
UACGUAGGGGGCAAGCGUUAUCCGGAAUCAUUGGGCGUAAAGCGCGUGUAGGCGGUUAAGUAAGUCCGCUCUGAAAGCCCAGGGCUCAACCCUGGGAGGCGGGUGGAAACUACUUGACUAGAGUCCGGAAGAGGAGAUUGGAAUUCCUGGUGUAGCGGUGAAAUGCGCAGAUAUCAGGAGGAACACCAACAGCGAAGGCAGAUCUCUGGGACGUGACUGACGCUGAGACGCGAAAGCGUGGGGAGCAAACAGG